CCUACGGGUGGCAGCAGUGGGGAAUAUUGGGCAAUGGAGGAAACUCUGACCCAGCAACGCCGCGUGAAUGAUGACGGCCCUCGGAUUGUAAAGUUCCUUUCUAAGGGAAGAAGAAAGUGACGGUACCUUAGGAAUAAGCCUCGGCUAACUACGUGCCAGCAGCCGCGGUAAUACGUAGGAGGCGAGCGUUAUCCGGAAUGACGGGGUGUAAAGGGUGCGUAGGUGGUUUGGCAAGUUAGUAGCGUAACUCCAAGGCUCAACCUUGGAACGACUACUAAAACUGUUGUACUUGAGUGCAGGAAGGGCAGGCGGAAUGCCUAGUGUAGCGGUGGAAUGCGUAGAUAUCAGGAGGAACACCAGUGGCGAAGGCGGGUUGCUAGACUGUAACUGACACUGAGGCACGAAAGCGUGGGGAGCAAACAGGAUUAGAUACCCGAGUAGUC
rnacentral:rRNA from 1 species